AACGAACGCUGGCGGCGCGCCUAAUACAUGCAAGUCGAGCGAGAAGACGUAGCAAUACGUUUGUAAAGCGGCGAACGGGUGAGGAAUACAUGGGUAACCUACCCUCGAGUGGGGAAUAACUAGCCGAAAGGUUAGCUAAUACCGCGUACGCUCCUUGGACUUCGGUUCAGGGAGGAAAGCGAUACCGUGGGUAUCGCGCUCUUGGAUGGGCUCAUGUCCUAUCAGCUUGUUGGUGAGGAACGGCUCACCAAGGCUUCGACGGGUAGCUGGUCUGAGAGGACAAUCAGCCACACUGGCACUGCGACACGGGCCAGACUCCUACGGGAGGCAGCAGUAAGGAAUAUUGCGCAAUGGGCGAAAGCCUGACGCAGCGACGCCGCGUGGGGGA
rnacentral:rRNA from 1 species